rnacentral:lncRNA from 1 species
GAUAUUUUUAUCUCACUUUUUCCAAUCAACCAAACAUAAAAAAUAAAAACAGAAAAACAAAUUUUCUUUUCCUUUUCAUACAUUCCAAACAAUAAUAGCUGAAAAAUAACUUUUACUUUUCUUCUAACCAAACGUCACAAAUCAUAAAAUUAGUUUUCAGAAAAGUCUUUUUUUAAAAAAAUAAUUUUAAUUCAUAAUUUCACGUAGAACCAAACACAUUAAAAUGUAUUUUAAAAUGAACGUGAUUGUAAAUAACUAGAAGAUCAGGAUGUAAAAUAGGCUUCAGGUUAGGAACUACAAAAAUGCAAACACAGGUCUUAUCUUAUCUGGUUAAUUUUACAUAGGUCCCUGCAAAUAUAAUAAAUGACAAAUAUAUUCUUAUAAAGUUCAACUUUUAUAUCUUAUCUUUGUAAAAAAUUUAAAAUUUUCAAAUAUGUUCCUCUGUCUUUUUACCGUUAGAGAAUCGUUAAAGAACCGUUUAAAUUUUUAAUUUUAUCAUCACAAAUAUAUUCCUCUAAAAAUCAUAACAGUAUAAUAUAAGAGGGGUAAAAAUAUAAAAAAUUAAGUUUAAGUAUUUAAUCUAUAGUUAACUAAAUUUUUCUAAUAAACUUAAUGACAAAAAUAUAUUUGGAUACAUCAGAAUUUUUACAAAAAAUAAUAUAUAUUAAAUUUUAUUGGAAUAUAUUUGUCAUUUAUUAUGUUUGAAGUAGG